rnacentral:tRNA from 2 species
GCGCAUGUGGUGGAAUUGGCAGACACGCUAGAUUUAGGCUCUAGUGCUUACGCGUGAGGGUUCAAAUCCCUCCUUGCGCA